rnacentral:tRNA from 1 species
GCACGGGUACCCAAGCGGUCUAAGGGGCUAGAUUCAGACUCUAGUGGUUUAGUACCUUCGGAGGUUCGAAUCCUCCCUCGUGCA